rnacentral:misc_RNA from 1 species
GCAAACUUGGUCAUUUAGAGGAAGUAAAAGUCGUAACAAGGUUUCCGUAGGUGAACCUGCGGAAGGAUCAUUAAUGUGUUUUGGACCGCGAGGUUCAUUAUUCCAAAGCUGUGCGCCUUUUGGCUGCACGCGGAGGAAAAACACUCUUCCACACCUGUGCACAUACACGGUGGAGGGCUUAACUGCCCGCCGCCGAUAUCACACACGUCAUUAUUCAGUUUUGUAUGUAACCUUUUAUAAACACAACUUUCAGCAACGGAUCUCUUGGCUCUCGCAUCGAUGAAGAACGCAGC